rnacentral:rRNA from 2 species
UCUACGGGAGGCAGCAGUGGGGAAUAUUGGACAAUGGGCGAAAGCCUGAUCCAGCAAUGCCGCGUGAGUGAUGAAGGCCUUAGGGUUGUAAAGCUCUUUUACCCGGGAUGAUAAUGACAGUACCGGGAGAAUAAGCUCCGGCUAACUCCGUGCCAGCAGCCGCGGUAAUA